rnacentral:rRNA from 1 species
GGACUACUGGGGUAUCUAAUCCUGUUUGCUCCCCACGCUCUCGCGCCUCAGUGUCAGUGUCAAUCCAGGUAGCCGCCUUCGCCACUGGUGUUCCUUCCGAUAUCUACGCAUUUCACCGCUACACCGGAAAUUCCACUACCCUCUAUUGCACUCCAGUUACCCAGUAUAAGAUGCAGUUCCCAGGUUAAGCCCGGGGAUUUCACAUCUCACUUAAGCAACCACCUACGCGCCCUUUACGCCCAGUAAAUCCGAUUAACGCUUGCACCCUCUGUAUUACCGCGGCUGCUGGCAC